AUGCGAUGGAGGAAGGUGCUCUUGUCGGCGAGGGCUAGCAAGAGGUCAUGGAGCAUGGCCAGCUGCCCGCGAGCAGCUCUGAGAAGAGGAAGGCUGGCUGCCGGGGAGCAGUGGGAGCAAGGAGAGAGGGCGGUACAGAGUGGAGGUCAGCAGAGGCGCCCCGUCGGGCUCGUUGCCGGGAAGCACUCGCAGGGCAGGCCUGAAGCAGCCGUCUUCGCCAAACGGGUGGAAGAUUGGGUACUCUGGAGCACAUGGGAGGAGGAGAAGGAUGGGAGGUGUGUAGAAUUCGGUGCCCAGGGAGACGAUCGAGAUGGUGGAGCAGAAUCUAGAGGACGACGGGAGACCAGGUAG
rnacentral:rRNA from 1 species